GUGACUUUGUCCCCAGUGCUGAGAUGACUUCCCUUCUGGGACCUCACUCUCCUGUGCACUCAUGUGUGCACAUGUCCUCUCUUUGGAUAAGGGGAGAGAGAAAGCUGUCCCAAGAUCCCACAGAACAAGGAGUCAAGAUGCCUCACUUCUGCUUCUCUGUUCUCCAUCUCAGUUCACCUCCUUGUGCCCAGCGUUAGUCAACCGUGAAAGACUGAGAAACUGGGCUGCUGAGAUGGUUUAGUGGGUAAAGGCCUUGCUGCCAACCUUGACAAGCCAAGUGUGAUCCCUGGAACCCACAUGGUGGAUGGAGAGAGCGGACUUCCGCAAGUUGUCCUCAGACGUCCACAGAUGAAAGGUUACUGUGUUACCCUCCUUGGGCUGCUGUUGCAAAAGACUCCAAAUCACUAGGAACAAAACAAAAUAAGUGUGUCAUCCUGAACCAACUUGCCAUGAUGGAUUUCAUCUAAAAGGAG